GUUCGCUCUGUUUUCUCGGACCUGCGUACACCGAAACGUGCGCGAGGAGGGCGGUGCUCCGGUACAGGUGCAGCCGGAGCUUUCUUCUCACACUCUCCACACACAUGGUGGCAGGACCUGUUGGCACGGUCCAGACCCGGGUGGUCCAGACCAGGGUCCAGACCAGGGUCCAGGUCCUGGUCUUCCUUCAAAGCCGAUUUCCUGAAACUUGCUUCGGC